GAUGAACGCUAGCGGCAGGCCUAAUACAUGCAAGUCGUACGGCAACACAGUUGCGAGCAAUCGCAACCGGUGGCGAGUGGCGCACGGGUGAGUAACGCGUAUGUAACCUACCCUUCUCCGGGACAUAACUCCGCGAAAGCGGUGCUAAUAUCCCAUACCAACUCAUCAAGACAUCUUCUUGAGUUGAAAGCAGCAAUGCGGUGAAGGAUGGGCAUGCGUCCCAUUAGCUGGUUGGUGAGGUAAUGGCCCACCAAGGCUACGAUGGGUAGGGGUUCUGAGAGGAAAGCCCCCCACACUGGUACUGAGACACGGACCAGACUCCUACGGGAGGCAGCAGUAAGGAAUAUUGGGCAAUGGUACGAAAGACUGACCCAGCCAUGCCGCGUGCAGGAUGAAGGCCCUAGUGGGUUGUAAACUGCUUUUAGCCGGGAAUAAACUACCCGUUUUAAUAACCGGGCCCGAAGGUACCGGCUAGAAUAAGCAAUCGGCUAACUCCGUGCCAGCACGG
rnacentral:rRNA from 1 species